UACGGGGGGAGCAAGCGUUGUUCGGAUUUACUGGGCGUAAAGGGCGCGUAGGCGGCCAGUGCAAGUCAGUUGUGAAAUCUCCGAGCUUAACUCGGAAAGGUCAACUGAUACUGCUCGGCUAGAGUGCGGAAGGGGCAACUGGAAUUCUUGGUGUAGCGGUGAAAUGCGUAGAUAUCAAGAGGAACACCUGCGGCGAAGGCGGGUUGCUGGGCCGACACUGACGCUGAGGCACGAAAGUGUCGGGAGGCAAACAGG
rnacentral:rRNA from 1 species